ACCAAACAGAGACCAAACAGUAGAUGUCAGCACAGUGAGAAGACUGGUGGUGAUAUGUGUCUGCAAAACCUUUGAGCAGUCUGCAAACUGCAACUUAAAUGUAUGAGGAGAAAACAUCUGUCAUGAGGUAGUAGAGAAGUGGAGAAGAGAAAUUCAACACAAUGCUGAGGAGGAGGAGGAAAUGGAACAUACUACUAAUACUGAACAGCCUUCUGAAAAGUUAGCAAUAGUUUUAAGUAAUACUUGUCAGACAAGAAAUGUCUUCAAAUAAAGAUGUGGAAUCAAGAAAAAUGAUGCUGCCCAACAUCUGAACAUCAGUUUGAGUACAUCUCUAUUAGUGCUCUCAUUAAA